rnacentral:rRNA from 1 species
AUUGAACGCUGGCGGUAUGCUUAACACAUGCAAGUCGAACGGCAGCACGGUCUGUAGUAAUGCAGAUGGGUGGCGAGUGGCGGACGGGUGAGUAAUACGCAGGAAUCUGCCCUAUAGAGGGGGAUAACUCGAGGAAACUCGAGCUAAUACCGCAUAGUCUCUACGGAGUAAAGCUGGGGCAACCUGGCGCUAUAGGAGGAGCCUGCGUCUGAUUAGCUAGUUGGUGGGGUAAAGGCCUACCAAGGCGACGAUCUGUAGGUGGUCUGAGAGGAUGAUCACCCACACUGGGACUGAGACACGGCCCAGACUCCUACGGGAGGCAGCAGUGGGGAAUAUUGGACAAUGGGGGCAACCCUGAUCCAGCAAUACCGCGUGUGUGAAGAAGGCCUUAGGGUUGUAAAGCACUUUAGGCGGGGAAGAAGGUAUGUAUUUUAAGAGAUAACAUAUUUGACGGUACCCGCAGAAUAAGCACCGGCUAACUCUGUGCCAGCCGCCGCCGUAA